rnacentral:rRNA from 1 species
UAGGCGAGGACGAGAGUCGUAGCCGAUGGACAACAGGUGGAGAUUCCUGUACUGCGGUAUGACAGAACUGUGGGGACACGUAAGGAAAGCGGAAGCCGGGAAUGGAAAGCCCGGUGCAAGCGGGGUACCAGCCACUCUGGCAAAUCCGGGUGGCAAUGGGAAGCCGUGAUGCGGAGUGAAAUAAAGUAACGAAGUCCGUGAGCCAUGCGUCAAGAAAAGCCGCUAUUGUUUAUACCGUACCCGUACCGUAAACCGACACAGGUGGAUGAGGAGAGAAUCCUAAGGCCGGCGGAAGAAGCAUUGUCAAGGAACUCGGCAAAAUGGCCCCGUAACUUAGGGAUAAGGGGUGCCUGGGAAACCAGGCCGCAGAGAAUAGGCUCAAGCAACUGUUUAGCAAAAACACAGGUCUAUGCGAAACCGAAAGGUGAGGUAUAUGGGCUGACGCCUGCCCGGUGCUGGAAGGUUAAGAGGAGAGGUUAGCGCAAGCGAAGCUUUGAAUUUAAGCCCCAGUAAACGGCGGCCGUAACAAUAACGGUCCUAAGGUAGCGAAAUUCCUUGUCGGGUAAGUUCCGACCCGCACGAAAGGCGUAAUGAUUUGAGCGCUGUCUCGACAAUGCAUCCGGUGAAAUUGAAGUACCAGUGAAGAUGCUGGUUACCUGCGCCAGGACGGAAAGACCCCAUGGAGCUUUACUCCAGUUUGGUACUGGGACUCGGUAUUGCAUGUACAGGAUAGGUGGGAGGCUGAGAGACAGUAACGCCAGUUAUUGUGGAGCCGCUGUUGGGAUACCACCCUUGCAGUAUUGGGUUUCUAACCAGCCGCCGUGACCCGGCGGUGGGACAAUGCCAGACGGGGAGUUUGACUGGGGCGGUCGCCUCCGAAAGGGUAUCGGAGGCGCCCAAAGGUUCCCUCAGAAUGGACGGAAACCAUUCGAAGAGUGCAAAGGCAGAAGGGAGCUUGACUGCGACACCGACGGGUGGAGCUGGUACGAAAGUAGGGCUUAGUGAUCCGGUGGUAUUAAGUGGGAAUGCCAUCGCUCAACGGAUAAAAGCUACCCUGGGAUAACAGGCUUAUCACUCCCAAGAGUUCACAUCGACGGAGUGGUUUGGCACCUCGAUGUCGGCUCAUCGCAUCCUGGGGCUGUAGUAGGUCCCAAGGGUUGGGCUGUUCGCCCAUUAAAGCGGUACGCGAGCUGGGUUCGGAACGUCGUGAGACAGUUCGGUCCCUAUCCGGCGUGGGCGUAGGAUAUCUGAGAGGAGCUGUCCUUAGUACGAGAGGACCGGGAUGGACGGGCCGCUGGUGCAUCGGUUAGACUGCCAAGUCUACGGCCGAGUAGCCAAGCCCGGAAGGGAUAAACGCUGAAGGCAUCUAAGCGUGAAGCCCCCCUUAAGAUGAGAUAUCCCAUUCGAAAGAAGUAAACCCCCUUGAAGACGACGAGGUAGAUAGGGCAGAGGUGGAAGUGUGGCAACACAUGGAGCUGACUGUUACUAAUCGGGUGAGGGCUUGAC